rnacentral:lncRNA from 1 species
CUGAAUCUGUAGUACCAACAUGUUUCAAGCAGACCACCAUAGUCCCUGUGCCCAAGAACACUAAGAUCCACAGAUGAUGCAAUCUCUAUUGCACUCCACACUGCCCUUUCCCACCUGGACAAAAGGAACACAUAUGUGAGAAUGCUAUUCAUUGACUACAGCAGCGUUCAACACCAUAGUGCCCUCUAAGCUAAUCACUAAGCUAAGGACCCUGGGACUAAACACCUCCCUCUGCAACUGGAUCCUGGACUUCUUGACUGGCCACCACCAGGUGGUAAGGGUAGGUAACAACACAUCUGCCACACUGAUCCUCAACACGGGGGCCCCUCAGGGGUGCAUGCUCAGUCCCCUCCUGUACUCCCUGUUCACUCAUGACUGCACGGCCAGGCACGACUCCAACACCAUCAUUAAGUUUGUCGAUGACACAAUAGGCCUGAUCACCAACAACAAUGAGACAGCCUAUAGGGAGGUCAGAGACCUGACCAUGUGGUGCAAGGACAACAACCUCUCCCUCUCUUACUUUUUUAGGGAUUUUCUUAAAACUGCAUUGUUGGUUAAGGGCUUGUAAGUAAGCAUUUCACCUGUUGUAUUUUGCGCAUGUGACAUAAAAUUUGAUUUGUUUAAGGUCCUACAGUUGACAAUGCAUGUCAGAGCAGAAACUAUAACAUGAAGUCUCAGGAACUGUCCGUAGAGCUCCGAGAUAGAAUUAUGAUGAGGCAUAUAUCUGGGAAACUAUUCCUAGAGUGUUGAAAGUUUCCAAGAGCACAGUGCUCUCCAUCACUGGGAAAUUGAAAAAAUAGGCAAGGAAGAUCUUGGUUAGGGAGAUGACCAAGAACACAAUUACCACUCUGACAGAACCACAGAGUUCCUUGACUGAGAUACGAGAACCUGCCAGAAGGACAACCGUCUAUACAGCACUUCACCAAUCUGGGCUUUAUGGGAGAGUAGCCAGAUGGAAGCCACUAAUGAGAAAAAGGCACGACAGCACGCCUGGAGUUUGCAAAAAGGUACGAGAAAGACUCUGAGAUCAUAAGGCAAAAGAUUUUGCGGUCUGAUGAGACAAAAAUGUAAGUCUUUGGCCUGAAUGCAAAGCACUGUGUCAGGAAAAACCAGACACAGCUCAUCACCUGUCUAACAACAUCCCCACCGUGAAGCACAGUGGUGGCAGCAUCAUGCUAUGGGGAGGCUUUUCAGCGGCAGGGACUGGGAGACUGGCAAUGCUGGAAUGGCUUCAGAACAAGAAUGUGAAAGUCCUUGAGUAGCCCAGCCAAAGCCCAGACUUGAAUCCCAUUGAAAAUCUGUGGAAACACUUGAAGAAUGCUGUUCCCUGCCACUCCACAUCUAACUUAACAGAGCAUUAGAAAAUCUGCAAGGAAGAAUGGGAGAAAAUCCCCAAAUCCAGAUGUGCAGAUAAUACAGACAUACCCAAGUCCAGUCAAAGCUGUAAUCUCUGCCAAAAGUGCUUCUACAAAGUAUUGACUCAGGGGUGUGAAUACUUAUGCAAAUGAGAUACAGUAUUUUGGCGCAUGUGGCAAAUAAAGUUUGAUUUGUUUUCUAUAUUUCAUUUUCAAUACAUUUGCAAAAAAAAAAUACAUGUUUUCACUUUGUCAUGAUAGGGUAUUGUGUGUAGAUGGGGGAGAAAAUCCAUUUUGAAUUCAGGCAGUAACACAAUAAAAUCUGAAAUAAGUUCAGGGGUAUGAAUACUUUCUGAAGGUACUGUAUAUGUGGUGUUCAGUUAGUAUUAGUAGAAUGUCUAGUGCUCACCUCUUAGCCAUUACACAUGUGCAGUAUUUACAUUAGACAACCAUGAACUGAAGUGAGGACAGCAACAACGAUCCUAGUGUGUGUACGCACCUUGCUUGGUGCAUAUCAUCAUAAAGCCUGGUCACGCUCUGAUGAUUCUGUGAGGGAACAAGUUUGACAUCACUGAAGUCUGCUGAUAAAAGCUGAUAAAAAAUUUGAGGACACAAUAUGACUGUGAUAAAUGGUUUGAAUUACGUCAUGUCAUGUUCAUUAUUAGAUUGAUUGUGGAAGGGACAAAUAAUAGUUAACUAAGCUAUACAAUAAUGAACCAUCACAAACCAC